CCUACGGGUGGCUGCAGUGAGGAAUAUUGGUCAAUGGACGAGAGUCUGAACCAGCCAAGUAGCGUGAAGGAUGACUGCCCUAUGGGUUGUAAACUUCUUUUAUAUGGGAAUAAAAUGUCCCACGUGUGGGAUUUUGUAUGUACCAUAUGAAUAAGGAUCGGCUAACUCCGUGCCAGCAGCCGCGGUAAUACGGAGGAUCCGAGCGUUAUCCGGAUUUAUUGGGUUUAAAGGGAGCGUAGGUGGAUUGUUAAGUCAGUUGUGAAAGUUUGCGGCUCAACCGUAAAAUUGCAGUUGAAACUGGCGGUCUAGAGUGCAGGAGAGGUAGGCGGAAUUCGUGGUGUAGCGGUGAAAUGCUUAGAUAUCACGAAGAACUCCGAUUGCGAAGGCAGUUCACUGGACUGCAACUGACGCUGAGGCUCGAAAGUGUGGGUAUCAAACAGGAUUAGAUACCCGUGUAGUC
rnacentral:rRNA from 1 species